AUUACUACAGUAUAACACAGUGUGAUUUGUGUAGAUUACUACAGUAUAACACAUUGUGAUUUGUGUAGAUUACUACAGUAUAACACAGUGUGAUUUGUGUAGAUUACUACAGUAUAACACAGUGUGGAGUAAAAGUACAGGGGCGUUUUCAACCAACUCCACUUCUGUCCAAAAAUACAAUACAUUUUUGUUGUAGCACAACACUAACACAUCAGUGCACCACUAAAGGUUCUCCUCCAUAGUGUAUGUGGUUCUCCUCCACAGUGUGUCUGUCGGUGGUUCUCUUCAAUAGUGUGUGUGGUUCUCUUCCAUAGUGUAUGUGGUUCUCCUCCACAGUGUGUCUGUGGUUCCCUGUGGUUCUCCUCCACAGCGUAUGUUGUUCUCUGUGGUUUUCCUCCAUAGUGUAUGUUGUUCUCCUCCACAGUGUAUGUUGUUCUCUGUGGAUCUCUUCCAUAGUGUAUGUGGUUCUCCUCCACAGUGCGUAUGUGGUUCUCUGUGGUUCUCCUCCAUAGUGUAUGUGGUUCUCCUCCAUAGUGCAUGCGGUUUUCCUCCACAGUGCGUCUGUGGUUCUCUGUGGUUCUCCUCCAUAGUGUCUGUGGUUCUCUGUGGUUCUCCUCCACAGUGUCUGUGGUUCUGUGGUUCUCCUCCAUAGUGUAUGUGGUUCUCUGUGGUUCUCCUCCAUAGUGAUGUAGUUCUCCUCCAUAGUGUAUGUGGUUGCCAGUGGUUCUCCUCCAGUGUGUCUGUGGUUCUCCUCCACCGUGUGUCUGUGGUUCUCCUCCACCGUGUGUCAGUGGUUCUCCUCCAGUGUCUCUGUGGUUCUCUGUGGUUCUUCUCCACAUUAUGUCUGUGGUUCUCCUCCACAGUGUCUGUGGUUCUCUGUGGUUGUCCUCCACAGUGUCUCUCUGUGUCCAGUGAUGAGUAAUGGAAUUAAUGAACCAGGCCAGCUCUUAAACAUCCUGACACCAGGCCCACUUUGAUUGACGGUUGUUGCUGCCUUCAGCCUAGAGUUGCACAUCUGCCAGCUGACAGUGCUGCAGAACUGCUGGAGUAGACACUGGGCUUUGAGCACCAAUCUACAGAACCAGACGAGCUAUCAAUGGCCUCUUCAGCUGAAUGCACACAUACACAUAAUACACACACAAACAAAUACAGGGGCACACACACACACACACACACAUAGACACAAACAAAAUACUAGACUUAUCAUCUGGCCGUUUCCUUAAUGCUGAUGACAGCGUAUCCAUUUCUGCAGGAAAGGCUCCAGAGCCACGGUGAUAUGGUCUCUCUUAUAACCGACACACUUCAGAAGACAGCAGCUUGCUUCCAGCAAAAAGGUUUGUUUUAUGUGGAAAACGAUAUCAAAGUGAAAUACUAUUGAGGGGUAAAUCAAAUAGGUGGUGUGGGGAGGAAAAAAUAAAGUUUCCCAUUUCAAAGUCAUUUUCCUCUGAAUGUUAUUCUAACGCUCUUAAUAACUGACGCUUUUUUAUGAUGUAAUAGGACACUGAAGACAUCGGCAGUUGGCUCCCCCGAGGCGAGAGAUAAAGUGGUGGACAGGCUCAGGAACCACCAAGAAAGCACGGUUCCACAGAACCACGCCACAUUACUAACACUUGCAAAGGCCACAUUCAAAUAAACUUUGCAUUGGUUACACACACACACACACACACACACACACACACACAAACACACGAGGUAGAAUUGACAGAUAUAAGAAAGCACUGCUGAAUGAGUCCCGUUUCAUUCUACAGCACAUAGACUACUGUGUUAUGUGCAUCACUCAGGGCAUGUAGUGAUGACAGGGAGUGUUUACUGAAGUCUUUGUCUAUAAAAAGACACAGCAAUGCUCAGCAUCAUUGGUCAUUCAAUGUCCUAUUGAUAUUUCAAAUCAGGUUGUUCAAAGUGAGACCAGAGUAGGGGAAGUGAGAGAGAGACAGAGAGUGAGAGCGAGAGAGAGAGAAAGAGAGAGGAGAGAGCGGAGAGAAGGAGGGAUAGAGCAAGAGAGAAAGAGAGCGAGACGGCGAGAGAAAGAGAGAGACAGCGAGAAAGAGAGAGAGACAGCAAGAGAAAGAGAGAGAGAGACAGCGAGAGAACAUACCAAAAAACAAUUAGGCAACAACAAAUUCAAUCCCUUUUAGACAACUUCCUGGAUAAAACGUUCCACUGUAAUAGCAAAGGUGUAAACUUGGCAGUAGAAAAUCUUAACAGUAUAUUUGACCUCAAAGCAUCCUUAUCAAAUCUAAAAAUCUAAAAACAGAAAACUGAAGAAAAUGGACAACAAUGAAAAAUGGUUUGAUGAAGAAUGCAAAAACCUAAGAAAGAAAUUGAGAAACAUGUCCAACCAAAAACAUAGGAGACCCAGAAAACCUGAGUCUACGCCUUCACUAUGGUGAAUCACUAAAACAACACAGAAAUACACUACGGAAAAAGAAGGAACAGCACCUCAGAAAUCAGCUCAACGUAAUGGAAGAAUCCAGAGACUCUAACCACUUCUGUGAAAAUUUGAAAACACUAAACAAACAGCAACACGAAGACCUAUCUAUCCAAAAGGGAGAUGUAUGGGUAAACCACGUCUCCAAUCUUUUUGGCUUUAUAACAAAGAACAAACAGCAAAAAACAUAUACAGUAUAUCACAAAAGUGAGUACACCCCUCACAUUUUUGUAAAUAUUUGAGUAUAUCUUUUCAUGUGACAACACUGAAGAAAUGACACUUUGCUACAAUGUAAAGUAGUGAGUGUACAGCUUGUAUAACAGUGUAUAUUUGCUGUCCCCUCAAAAUAACUCAACACACAGCCAUUAAUGUCUAAACUGCUGGCAACAAAAGU
rnacentral:lncRNA from 13 species